rnacentral:rRNA from 1 species
UGUGUAUAAGAGACAGUUAAAAAGCUCGUAGUUGGAUUUCUGGUACGGCGCGCUUGGCCCGCCAGGGUUACCUGGUUGUGUGCUGGUGUGGUUUCUAGGAUAAAGUAAUGAUUGAUAGGGACAGUUUGGGGUGCUAGCAUUCAGCCAGCGGUGAAAUUCUUGUGAAAUGGAUUCGCUGAAGACUAACUUAUGCGAAAGCAUUCACCAAGGAUGUCUUCUUCUGUCUCUUAUACACAUCUCCGAGCCCACGAGACACAAGUCCAUCUCGUAUGCCGUCUUCUGCUUG